rnacentral:lncRNA from 1 species
CAACAAUGAGGUCCUGAGCCACUGCAAUGAAAGAGAACACUGAGGACAUACCAGGAAGCCAGUGUGACAAACUUCUCCUGGAGAUUAAACAGCACGCAUCUUCUCCUCUGGAGCCAGGAAGCGAUACUCAAGGUAAAGGGAUCACACCUGUCGGGAGACCCUGACCUUGCAUGGAAUGGAGCAGACACUUCAUUUCACAUGAGUAGCCCCUCACUCCCACCAGAACCUCUGAAAUUAC